rnacentral:lncRNA from 1 species
CCCAAGUCGCUCUUUCAUACCCACACCUGUCUGCUGCAAGCUUUUCCUGGAUACACUCGGGCCCACGAGAAUUCCCACACUUGUUUUUAUAAACCCACUCCUUCCUCUUCGCCCACUUCCAACUCGCACACUUCUCUGGAUCCACCGGCCUCUGCCCUCUUUCCGAAUCCAAGGGCUGAGAGGACAGCUCGGUCCUUAACCCCAAACGCCGAGAAACCGAGGACACCAGCACCCCAGCGCCGCGAGGCUGCGGCGUGGGGAAGGAAAGGAAGCGGGAGAGCCGAGCCCCCCCACCCCCCCCCGCCGCCGCCGCCGGGCGCACACCCCCUUCCGGCACCCCUCCCCCCGCAUUGUGCGAGCGGGCCUCAGGCCGCUGCCGUCCCGGGCUGCCCGCAGGCCCCGUCCGCCCUCCCGCCUGCGGGCUGCCCCAGCCGAGGCCGCCACACAAAGCCCGGGGAGCCAGCCCCUGCGGUGCCAGAGCACGGGGAGAAGGAGCAAGCGCGGGCUGACUUACGGGGCUGCUGCGGCCGCGCUGCCUCAGCCGGGGACACCGACCGUUGGGCACACGGCGGUGUCGCUCUUGGCCGUCCUUCCCUCCUCCGCCUUCGGUGGCGGCAAUAUCUUCUUUCUCCACCUACCUCCCUCCCCCCCACCCCACCUCCUCCUUCUCCUCCCCCUCCUCCUCCGAACCACCGAAGUACCGAGGGUGAGACACAGAGACUCACAACAACAUGGCUGCCACCGCCGCCUCCCCUCCCCUCCCCCCCCGCCCACCGGGCGAGCGCAAGGCACUCCGGGAGAAAGGGGAGGGGGAGCACUCACCGAGGUGCGCCUCCUUUCUGUGGCUUCCGUCGUUUCUCCCGCGCUCUGGGCGCCGGCCGGCGGGAGCUCUGCGCGUGCGCACGCUCUCAGCGCUCGCGCGUUUCGGCCGUCCCUCAGGCGUGCACUCCCCCGCCCUCACCUUGCGAGCUCGCAGCUGGUUCUGGACUCAGAGGUGGCACCGGGCGGGGACGCGCUCUCAACCCUCGGCGGCGCAGGCGUGUUGCCCAGCGCCGCGUUCGCGUCUGUCUUCCCGCGUGGGGCCUCGACUUCCGAAUUCGCUUACCCUCCGCUUCCUCCCCGGUAGCUCAUUGUUCUCCGCCAACCGCCUGUGCGGGUGUUAGAGCUUCCGACCGCGCGGUACUCCCCGCACUUAGCUUCUGGGGUGCUGACACCCACAGGAGCUGGACAGUAACCCAGGCCCUUGGGUUCCAUCCUCACCCUCUCCCCGCAGCAAGACGACGGAGACGCAGUUUGCAUGGAAAAGUGAACCCCUUACGUGGACUGUCAUUCUAG